ensembl:lncRNA
CUAAUUCUUUAAAAGUUUAUUUUUUUCAUUUUCAGUUAUUUUGAAGCUAAAACCUUUGUAAUAUUGUUACUAAAGUGUCUAGUUUUGAAAUGCAAAGCUUUAUGUAUUAUCUUGCUGAUGUGGUUUACAAUAGUGUGACAACUGAUGAAAAUGGUUGGUUAUGUAAAGUGACUGGAAAUGUAAUGGAUAAUUGGGUAAUAAAAUGACAGAAUGAGCAGAACAUGUGAAAUUUUGACAAGCCUUUUCCUUUAUUACAGUGGUGUAGUGUAAGACAGGGAUGUCACAGUACAGAUCUCUAGGGAUGUCACAGUGGAUUUAUACAACACCAGAUGCAGCCAAAUCUGUGGCCCUGAUAAAGAAAUCACCCUACUGAAAUACCACUGGGUUUCAAACCUAGCUAGGUCAACAGAAUGUUUCAUUGCUUUCCCCCUCUAACUUCAUUUUGUCGUGUGUGUGUGUGUGUGUAUCUGCCACCAACUGCUGUCCAUGUGUGAGAUGGUGCCUUUCUCUCCCAAAUCUUUUACAUGCAUCUACAGUGGUGACAUCUGUGAAUCCAAGGAAAUGGCUGAGAGGCACCAGCUUCUAGAGUAAUACAGACUGACUACAGUGUCACACGUGGUCCUUCCCUGGAAGGGUGGGUUGGUGGCACUGAGGAAGCACAUCUGGAUGUCACCACUGUAUGUGGACACUGUGUGUGUGUCAGGGCUGCAUCUUCCUCCACAUCCCUACCUGCUCUCAACACCCCCCUUUUAUUGUGGCAACACAUCAGGCCCCUCCAUGCAUGAUCUGUCUGCCCUCCUACUGCCUCUUUCCCAGUCCCUGCCUCACCUGGAAGCCGUGCUGUUCAGGCAGCAUGGGCCUUGCAAUGGCGCCUAAAAUUAAUGCAGGAAGAUCAUACAACUGCAAAACUGGUGUUGCGUAAAUAGAACAUCCAAUGACUUGCUCUAGAUAGAUGGUGUGUUUCUACUAGUCAUUGGUGGCCUCUUCCAGCUCCAUAGCCAUGGAGGUGAGGUUAAUCAAUAACUUGGAGAAACUUGAGUCCAGAGAUGGCUCCUGGGAAUGCUCUAUGUAUUCAGUUUUGUAAAUAAUAUAUAGAUUAGAUCAAGUUGUGACGUAAAAUUUUAACUCAAAUUGGGUACUACUGGUUGGAAUUUUACAUUAACUACAAAUAAUGAUUAGGAACAGAAGAAAAGAAAUUGGAAAAAAUUCUUGUUUAGUGGUAUAAAGAUUAUGCUUAGAUUUCUGCCUAUAUCUUGUGUUUUAUAGCUUGUUAGUGAGGCAUGGGCUAAUGCAGAAUGUACUGCAUUUAUGCAAUUAGCAAAUAACUGCUAGUUUUCAUUUUAUCUAUUAUAUUAGCAACAAAUGGCAUUUAACUGGGUAAAGCUCCUACCUAAAUAUUUGAGUAUUGUGACAUCUCUACUUGCAAGGUUUGAAUGAAAGAUUAGUCACAGAUUAGUGAAAAAAAAAGUAUCUUUUGUUAAAACUGGCUUAUUUGUGUGGACUGUUGCUUUUUCACUAGUUUGUAUGGUAUGUCAGCUAACAUUUCUUUCUAUUCUUUUUUCUUUUAUAAUAACCAGACUUCUCUAUCUCAGCUGCAGUAGUGUUCCAUCUUACCACAGAGUAUUUUAUAAUUAAUGCUGUUGACUUUAUACCCCAAAAUGGGUCAAGAAAUAGAUCUGUGAUUCAGGGAUGUUUAAAUUUGUAAGACGAGGAUGUUAAUUGCAACAAGUAGAAAACUUGGGUGCUAAUAACACAGGACAACUCUUUCUUUUCUGGAUAUAGUUUUGUUGGGGUAUAAAGUAUUAGGUAUUUGUAUUUUUGCUGUCAAAAUAAUGGGCAUAACUUUUAGAGUGUUCACAGCUAAGAUCUCUGUAUUUGUUUUUCAACUAACAACUAAUUUUAAAUGUAUUGUAUCUUUGAUUACCUGUGUUCUUAGAUUGUUUUUUUUGCUAGUAACCCUUAACUCAGCUUCUGCCUUUGGGGCUUGGACUAAUACUGCUUGUAUGGAACUACAGUACUGUGACUAAAUAUGGAGCUCAAUGCAGCUAUUGCUUACAACUGCUUAAACUUUGUAGUUUGGACUUUUUUUCUGUAAUAACUUAUUAAAUCUAGUUGUAUGAAGUA